rnacentral:rRNA from 1 species
UACUAGAGUAGCACUCGCAUAUCAAUAAGCGGAGGAAAAGAAACUAACAAGGAUUCCCCUAGUAACGGCGAGUGAAGCGGGAAGAGCUCAAAUUUGAAAUCUUAAAGGGUUUCCCUUUACGAAUUGUAGUUUAAAGAAGUGUUUUCUGUUGAGGUUUUGGUAAAAGUUCUUUGGAAUAGGACAUCAUAGAGGGUGAGAAUCCCGUAUUUGACCUUUACUUUCAACUUUGUGAAUACACUUUCAAAGAGUCGGAUUGUUUGGGAAUGCAGUCCAAAAUGGGUGGUAAAUUUCAUCUAAAGCUAAAUAUUGGCGAGAGACCGAUAGCGAACAAGUACCGUGAGGGAAAGAUGAAAAGAACUUUGAAAAGAGAGUUAAACAGUACGUGAAAUUGUCAAAAGGGAAGCGUUUGACACCAGUGUUGUUUUUCUGAAAAUCAAUUAAAGAACUGUUUAUGCUAAGUUGUUUAGACUUUAUCAGCUAAUCUGCUUAGUUUUGAGCUUUUCUUUAAUGCACUUUUCAGUUAACAAGUCAACAUCAAUUUCUUUUGCUGUAAAAAAGCUUGAGGAAGGUGGCUUGAGAUUCGUCUUAAGUGUUUAUAGCCUCUUGCCUAUGCAGUCGGAGAGAUUGAGGUCUGCAGCGUAGAUCCUUCGGGGCUAAAUGCAUUUGUGCUAAGUUAUAGCAUUUUAUAGACAACUUGUUGACUAUGAUUUGUCUUGUAGCUUACUCGCUUAUGUUAUUUUACCUACGCUUAGGAUGUUGAACUACUGAGACAUAGA